AGGACUAACGCUGGCGGCGUGCCUAACACAUGCAAGUCGAACGGGGUAGCAAUACCCAGUGGCAGACGGGUGAGUAACACGUGGUCAACCUACCUCUGUGUGGGGGAUAACUAGCCGAAAGGUUAGCUAAUACCGCAUACGAUCGUUUUGAGGCAUCUCGAGACGAUGAAAGGAGCAAUCCGCACGGAGAGGGGGACUGCGUCCCAUUAGUUAGUUGGUGAGGUAAGAGCUCACCAAGGCGACGAUCGGUAGCUGGUCUGAGAGGAUGAUCAGCCACACUGGGACUGAGAAACGGCCCAGACUCCUACGGGAGGCAGCAGUGAGGAAUUUUCCGCAAUGGGCGAAAGCCUGACGGAGCGACGCCGCGUGUGGGAAGAAGGCCUUCGGGUCGUAACCACUGUCGAAGGGACUAUAAUGAAUGUACCUUGGAGGAAGCCCGGCUAACUACGUGCCAGCAGCCGC
rnacentral:rRNA from 1 species